AUUGAACGCUGGCGGCAGGCCUAACACAUGCAAGUCGAACGAGCGGCGGACGGGUGAGUAAUGUAUGGGAAUCUGCCCGAUAGAGGGGGAUAACUACUGGAAACGGUAGCUAAUACCGCAUACUAUAGGAUGAACCCCUCUGGGAGUAGGUAGUAGGUGGGGUAAAGGCUCACCUAGGCGACGAUCUCUAGCUGGUCUGAGAGGAUGAUCCGCCACACUGGGACUGAGACACGGCCCAGACUCCUACGGGAGGCAACAGUGGGGAAUAUUGCACAAUGGGGGCAAGCCUGAUGCAGCCAUGCCGCGUGAAUGAAGAAGGCCUUAGGGUUGUAAAGUACUUUCGGUGGGGAGGCGUUAACCGCAGAAGAAGCACCGGCUAACUCCGUGCCAGCAGCCGCGGUAAUAC
rnacentral:rRNA from 1 species